GGCGGCGUGCUUAACACAUGCAAGUCGAACGGAAAGGCCCUUCGGGGUACUCGAGUGGCGAACGGGUGAGUAACACGUGGGUGAUCUGCCCUGCACUUUGGGAUAAGCCUGGGAAACUGGGUCUAAUACCGAAUAGGACCACGCGCUUCAUGGUGUGUGGUGGAAAGCUUUUGCGGUGUGGGAUGGGCCCGCGGCCUAUCAGCUUGUUGGUGGGGUAAUGGCCUACCAAGGCGACGACGGGUAGCCGGCCUGAGAGGGUGACCGGCCACACUGGGACUGAGAUACGGCCCAGACUCCUACGGGAGGCAGCAGUGGGGAAUAUUGCACAAUGGGCGCAAGCCUGAUGCAGCGACGCCGCGUGAGGGAUGACGGCCUUCGGGUUGUAAACCUCUUUCAAUAGGGACGAAGCGCAAGUGACGGUACCUAUAGAAGAAGCACCGGCCAACUACGUGCCAGCAGCCGCGGUAAUACGUAGGGUGCGAGCGUUGUCCGGAAUUACUGGGCGUAAAGAGCUCGUAGGUGGUUUGUCGCGUUGUUCGUGAAAACUCACAGCUUAACUGUGGGCGUGCGGGCGAUACGGGCAGACUAGAGUACUGCAGGGGAGACUGGAAUUCCUGGUGUAGCGGUGGAAUGCGCAGAUAUCAGGAGGAACACCGGUGGCGAAGGCGGGUCUCUGGGCAGUAACUGACGCUGAGGAGCGAAAGCGUGGGGAGCGAACAGGAUUAGAUACCCUGGUAGUCCACGCCGUAAACGGUGGGUACUAGGUGUGGGUUCCUUCCUUGGGAUCCGUGCCGUAGCUAACGCAUUAAGUACCCCGCCUGGGGAGUACGGCCGCAAGGCUAAAACUCAAAGGAAUUGACGGGGGCCCGCACAAGCGGCGGAGCAUGUGGAUUAAUUCGAUGCAACGCGAAGAACCUUACCUGGGUUUGACAUGCACAGGACGCCGGCAGAGAUGUCGGUUCCCUUGUGGCCUGUGUGCAGGUGGUGCAUGGCUGUCGUCAGCUCGUGUCGUGAGAUGUUGGGUUAAGUCCCGCAACGAGCGCAACCCUUGUCCUAUGUUGCCAGCGGGUUAUGCCGGGGACUCGUAGGAGACUGCCGGGGUCAACUCGGAGGAAGGUGGGGAUGACGUCAAGUCAUCAUGCCCCUUAUGUCCAGGGCUUCACACAUGCUACAAUGGCCGGUACAAAGGGCUGCGAUGCCGUGAGGUGGAGCGAAUCCUUUCAAAGCCGGUCUCAGUUCGGAUCGGGGUCUGCAACUCGACCCCGUGAAGUCGGAGUCGCUAGUAAUCGCAGAUCAGCAACGCUGCGGUGAAUACGUUCCCGGGCCUUGUACACACCGCCCGUCACGUCAUGAAAGUCGGUAACACCCGAAGCCGGUGGCCUAACCCUUGUGGAGGGAGCCGUCGAAGGUGGGAUCGGCGAUUG
rnacentral:rRNA from 1 species